rnacentral:misc_RNA from 1 species
GAUGAAGAACGUAGCGAAAUGCGAUAAGUAAUGUGAAUUGCAGAAUUCAGUGAAUCAUCGAAUCUUUGAACGCACAUUGUGCCCCUUGGUAUUCCGGGGGGCAUGCCUGUUCGAGCGUCAUUUCAACCCUCAAGCUCUGCUUGGUAUUGGGCACCGUCCUUUGCGGGCGCGCCUCAAAGACCUCGGCGGUGGCGUCUUGCCUCAAGCGUAGUAGAAUACACCUCGCUUCGGAGCGUAAGGCGUCGCCCGCCGGACGAACCUUCUGAACUUUUCUCAAGGUUGACCUCGGAUCAGGUAGGGAUACCCGCUGAACUUAAGCAUAUCAAUAAGCGGAGGA